rnacentral:siRNA from 1 species
GGGGAUGCUCUAAAGGACCAUGCA